rnacentral:rRNA from 1 species
CCUACGGGAGGCAGCAGUGGGGGAUAUUGCACAAUGGGGGGAACCCUGAUGCAGCGACGCCGCGUGGGUGAAGGAGUGCUUCGGCAUGUAAAGCCCUAUCGGCAGGGAAGAAGCAAGACGGUACCUGACUAAGAAGCCCCGGCUAACUACGUGCCAGCAGCCGCGGUAAUACGGAGGGGGCGAGCGUUAUCCGGAUUCACUGGGUGUAAAGGGAGCGUAGACGGCCAUGCAAGCCAGGGGUGAAAGCCCGGGGCUCAACCCGGGGACUGCGCUGGGAACUGGGCGGCUAGAGUGCGGGAGGGGUAGGCGGAAUUCGUGGGGUAGCGGUGAAAUGCUGAGAUAUCAGGAGGAACACCGGCGGCGAAGGCGGCCUGCUGGACUGCAACUGACGUUGAGGCUCGAAAGCGUGGGGAGCGAACAGGAUUAGAUACCCUUGUAGUC